rnacentral:rRNA from 1 species
GAUGAACGCUGGCGGCGUGCUUAACACAUGCAAGUUGGACGUGAAGCCUAGUACUUAGUAUUGGGUGGAAAGUGGCGAACGGGUGAGUAACACGUUGGUGACCUGUCCCGAGGAGGGGGAUAACCGUGGGAAACCACGGCUAAUACCCCGGAUGUCUAGGUGGUUAGAGGGCCUAGACUAAAGCUCCGGCGCCUUGGGAGGGGCCUGCGGGCUAUCAGCUUGUUGGUGGGGUAACGGCCUACCAAGGCUAAGACGGCUAGGGGGCGUAAGAGCGCGACCCCCCACAAUGGAACUGAGACACGGUCCAUACUCCUACGGGAGGCAGCAGUGAGGAAUAUUGCGCAAUGGGGGCAACCCUGACGCAGCAACGCCGCGUGGACGAUGAAGGCCUUCGGGUUGUAAAGUCCUUUUCUGAGGGACGAUAAUGACGGUACCUCAGGAAUAAGUCCCGGCUAACUACGUG